rnacentral:lncRNA from 1 species
CACGGCGCUAAGGGCGGAGUCCGUGUAGACGUUCUACCUGGGGCUUGACCCCUGGGCCUGCAGGUCACGGAAAACAUACAGCCCUGAUUGCUGUUGGCAGACAUCUGCCGCUAUGGUAGAAAGCAGCCUGAGGACAAAAUUGUUAAGAGGAAAAAAGCAGAGCCCAGGCAGCCCCGGAGGAAUGAAGCUGGAACUCUGAUCAGUUAUCGGUUCUGGUGGUGGACAGACACCAGAGUGGGAUUCUAAGCUGGCGAGGCUUACCUGGUAUCUCAGGGUCCCGGUGCCCUCAGUCAACACAGGUUCCUGAAGACUCAGUGCCAGGUCCAGGACACUGUGCAAGCAAGAGCACAGCAGGCAGAGUUCUAUUCUGUCAUCCAGUCUGGAGCUCAGUGGCACCAUCAUGGAUCACUGCAGCCCCAGCCUCCUGAACUCAAGCAAUCCUCCUGUCUCAGCCUCCAGAGUAGCUGGAACUACAUGAGCAGGCUACCAUGUCUGGCUAAGUACCUCAAGUUUGUAAAAGAUAAUACAAUUUCAAGAUCCUCUAAAUGUAUUAUGCAAGGGAUAAAUUAAGC